GGCUUGGCUGUAGGGAAUACUCUUGGUGCAGUGUUUGGGAUGACAACUCAAAGGAGAUAGAUAUUGAUGUUUGUCUGUGGGCUUGCAAUACAGAUCAGUAGAUAUGUUUCCAUCCCUCAAUUUCGUUGUAGUGUCAAGAAAUGUGAUCUUAGAGUCAGAGAUUUCAUAUGUGAAUUUGAUUGAGGGAUGGACAUCGUUGGCAUGAUGAAUG
rnacentral:lncRNA from 1 species